GCUUCACACACAUGCACAUCCUUAAUCAAGAGAGAAAAUUAUGAAAUUUGUGUAGUUUUGUGUGGUUCGAAUCUUGAAGUAUGCUAGGAAGUAUUUUGAAAAAGGAGCUAAGAAACUAUACAAGGAGUUUGCUGAUGCAGAUCUAGAAGAAGAAGGCAUGGACUCAUAUGUCAGUUUUAAUAGUUUUUGAAACCAUUGCUGUAGUAAUAUGUGCUAGCUUAGAAAUUACUAGGCAUAUUUAUGUGUGUUUUAUUUCAAGGCUUGUAAUAAUUAUGACGAUGUUUUAUUUGGUGUAUUUUUAUGUUGUAUGUUUAUGUGCCGUUUGUGGCACUUAUUUUUUUAUGCACCUAGUGUGCAAAUGGCGUGUAAAGAUAAACCUAAGUAACUUUUUAUAAACGUAUCGAGGUAUUUCAGUCA